GCAAAACUUUGCCCUUUGUUUUGUUUUCCCUGUUCCCUGGAUUCACCUUUGCUGCCUUAUUUUAUUUUUCUGCAUUUUGAUCCUCAUUUCUGAAACAGUGACUGUUGCACUUAAAAACACCCUAUAAACCAGUCAGCACAUUAGAGAAAGAGAAAGAGAAAGUAAAUCAGCACUCGGAUUUAGUCAAUCGACCAGCAUCACAAGAGUGGAGAAGCUUACCAACAGAAAAGAAACAAGUAAAUAAAAAGAUACUCCUGAGAAUAAUUUCAACCUUGAGCAGACUAAAAUGGAAGCCGGAAGCUCAAGGGGUUGCGAAGUCAAUUUUGCGAAUGUAAUAGUCAGCAGUCUGCUGAUCUCUUUAGAAGCCCCAGUGAUGUUCUUCGUGGACAAAGUUCGUGAAUAUCUGUGGAAGUCAAAGCCAUGACAAGAAGAACUGGAAUCAGCAGCAUGGAUACAGAAGCAACCGAGUUCAGAUAAAGUGAUCGAUAAACAUAGAUGAAAUGAGUGGUUUGAAAGUGAUAUGAGAGAUAUUAUACCAAUUGAAAUGCUUAUCUGUCAGUGUAUCCAAACAUUUAUAUUUCUACAA